rnacentral:rRNA from 1 species
UACGUAGGGGGCAAGCGUUGUCCGGAAUUAUUGGGCGUAAAGCGCGCGCAGGCGGCUAUUUAAGUCUGGUGUUUAAACCUUGGGCUCAACCUGAGGUCGCACUGGAAACUGGGUGGCUUGAGUACAGAAGAGGAAAGUGGAAUUCCCAGUGUAGCGGUGAAAUGCGUAGAUAUUGGGAGGAACACCAGUGGCGAAGGCGGCUCACUGGACCGGUUCUGACGCUGAGGCGCGAAAGCGUGGGGAGCAAAAGGG